AUUGAACGCUGGCGGCAGGCCUAACACAUGCAAGUCGAGCGAGCGGCGGACGGGUGAGUAAUGUCUGGGACACUGCCUGAUGGAGGGGGAUAACUACUGGAAACGGUAGCUCCUACCGCAUACCAUCAGAUGUGCCCAGAUGGGAUUAGCUAGUGGGUGGGGUAAUGGCUCCCCUAGGCGACGAUCCCUAGCUGGUCUGAGAGGAUGACGUGUCACGCGGGAGAUGAGACACGGUGCAUAAGCCUACGGGAGUGAGCAGGGGAGAAUAUUGCACACUGGGCGAAAGCCAGAUGCAGCCAAGCCGCGUGGGUGUAUAGGUCCUUCGGGUUGUAAAGCACUUUCAGCGGGGAGGCGUUACCUGCAGAAGAAGCACCGGCUAACUCCGUGCCAGCAGCCGCGGUAAUAC
rnacentral:rRNA from 1 species